ACCUGCAUUUGCCAGGGGUUGAGGUCUUGCCCGUGACCUGGUUGCUGAUAAUCCAGGGACAGGAGCCCCGAAACUGUUCCCCGUGUUUGGGUUCGAUCCUGUCCCUCCCAAACCCUGUAGCCUUCAGACA
rnacentral:snoRNA from 1 species